GGCCCAGGUCAGGGCCAGACACGGACUGAAAAGCGGAAGGUCGCCGGUUCGACCCCGGCCCCAGCCACCA
rnacentral:tRNA from 1 species